rnacentral:rRNA from 1 species
UGGGGAAUAUUGCGCAAUGGGGGAAACCCUGACGCAGCGACGCCGUGUGAGUGAUGAAGGUUUUUCGGAUCGUAAAGCUCUGUCGGAUGGGACGAAUAAGAGUUGAGUAAAUAAUUCAAUUCGAUGACGGUACCGUCGAAGGAAGCACCGGCUAACUCCGUGCCAGCAGCCGCGGUAAUACGGAGGGUGCAAGCGUUGUUCGGAAUUACUGGGCGUAAAGCGCGUGUAGGCGGAUAUACAUGUCAGAUGUGAAAUCCCUUGGCUCAACUGAGGAAGUGCAUCUGAAACUGCAUAUCUUGAGUACGAUAGAGGAGAGUGGAAUUCCCAGUGUAGAGUGAAUUCAUAGAUAUUGGAAGAACACGGUGCGAAGCGGCUCUCUGGAUCGAUACUGACGCUGAU